rnacentral:lncRNA from 1 species
GCACUCAAACUUGUGGAUCCAGGGGAUCCUCAUAGACAUCCAAGGGUAGGUCUGCCUGCAGUUCCUCAUUUUCUUCCUCAUCUGGGGGGAAUGGAAAGAGUGAGUUCCAUAUGCUCAGUAAGAAAAAUAAUAUUAAAUUAACAUCAUAAGAUUUCAAAAGUUUAUUAUUUUAUCUCACCGUUUAGCUUCUUUGUUUACCU